rnacentral:rRNA from 1 species
UACGGGGGGUGCGAGCGUUGUCCGGAUUUAUUGGGCGUAAAGAGCUCGUAGGCGGCUUGUUGCGUCAGCUGUGAAAACCCGCAGCUCAACUGUGGGCUUGCAGCUGAUACGGGCAGGCUUGAGUUCGGUAGGGGAGACUGGAAUUCCUGGUGUAGCGGUGAAAUGCGCAGAUAUCAGGAAGAACACCCGUGGCGAAGGCGGUUCUCUGGGACGGUACUGACGCUGAGACGCGAAAGCGUGGGGAGCGAACAGG